CCUACGGGUGGCAGCAGUGGGGAAUAUUGGACAAUGGGGGGAACCCUGAUCCAGCCAUGCCGCGUGUGUGAAGAAGGCCCUCGGGUUGUAAAGCACUUUCAGUGAGGAAGAACGCCUGGUGGUUAAUACCCAUCAGGAAAGACAUCACUCACAGAAGAAGCACCGGCUAACUCCGUGCCAGCAGCCGCGGUAAUACGGAGGGUGCGAGCGUUAAUCGGAAUUACUGGGCGUAAAGCGCGCGUAGGUGGCUUGAUAAGCCGGUUGUGAAAGCCCCGGGCUCAACCUGGGAACGGCAUCCGGAACUGUCAAGCUAGAGUGCAGGAGAGGAAGGUAGAAUUCCCGGUGUAGCGGUGAAAUGCGUAGAGAUCGGGAGGAAUACCAGUGGCGAAGGCGGCCUUCUGGACUGACACUGACACUGUGGUGCGAAAGCGUGGGUAGCAAACAGGAUUAGAUACCCUUGUAGUC
rnacentral:rRNA from 1 species